rnacentral:rRNA from 1 species
UCCGAAGGGGGCUAUCGUUGUUCGGAAUUACUGGGCGUAAAGCGUACGUAGGCGGAUUUGUAAGUAGGGGGUGAAAUCCCCGGGCUCAACCUGGGAACUGCCUUCUAGACUGCAAGUCUCGAGAUCAGGAGAGGCGAGUGGAAUUCCGAGUGUAGAGGUGAAAUUCGUAGAUAUUCGGAGGAACACCAGUGGCGAAGGCGACUCGCUGGACUGAUACUGACGCUGAGGUACGAAAGCGUGGGGAGCAAACAGG